rnacentral:pre_miRNA from 1 species
UUGGAGGAUUUGAAAACUUUAACUUGCGAACUUGAAGAAUUUGAAAACUCCAACUUGCAUACUUGGAGGAUUUGAAGACUUUAACU